rnacentral:rRNA from 1 species
AUUGAACGCUGGCGGCAGGCCUAACACAUGCAAGUCGAACGAGUGGCAGACGGGUGAGUAAUGUCUGGGAAACUGCCUGAUGGAGGGGGAUAACUACUGGAAACGGUAUCUAAUCCCGCAUACCAUCGGAUGUGCCCAGAUGGGUUUAGCGAGUAGGUGGGGUAAAGUCUCACCUAGGCGACGAUCCCUAGCUGGUCUGAGAGGAUGACCAGCCACACUGGAACUGAGACACGGUCCAGACUCCUACGGGAGGCAGCAGUGGGGAAUAUUGCACAAUGGGCGCAAGCCUGAUGCAGCCAUGCCGCGUGUAUGAAGAAGGCCUUAGGGUUGUAAAGUACUUUCAGCGGGGAGGCGUUACCGGCAGAAGAAGCACCGGCUAACUCCGUGCCAGCAGCCGCGGUAAUAC